rnacentral:rRNA from 1 species
AACGAACGCUGGCGGCAGGCCUAACACAUGCAAGUCGAGCGAGACCUUCGGGUCUAGCGGCGGACGGGUGAGUAACGCGUGGGAAUAUGCCCUUUGGUACGGAAUAGCCUCGGGAAACUGAGAGUAAUACCGUAUGUGCCCUUCGGGGGAAAGAUUUAUCGCCAAAGGAUUAGCCCGCGUUGGAUUAGGUAGUUGGUGGGGUAAUGGCCUACCAAGCCUACGAUCCAUAGCUGGUUUGAGAGGAUGAUCAGCCACACGGGGACUGAGACACGGCCCAGACUCCUACGGGGGGCAGCAGUGGGGAAUUUUAGACAAUGGGGGAAACCCUGAUCUAGCCAUGCCGCGUGAGUGAUGAAGGCCUUAGGGUUGUAAAGCUCUUUCAGCUGGGAAGAUAAUGACGGUACCAGCAGAAGAAGCCCCGGCUAACUCCGUGCCAGCCGCCGCAGUAA